AUGUUGCAGAAUCUUGAUGGAGAUAUAUUAUCUGUGAUUGAGAAUCCUGUGGCUGUCAGUCAUCCUUUUCACCCAGAGAAGACAGGAGUGGGUGGGCCCCAAGGAGCUCAGAGUCAGAGCUGCCAUGCCUGGCUGAGAGGAAUCCAUUCUACAAACCACGUGUCAGCCCAUAGACUGGUGAGAGUACUGGUUGCUGUGUGUGGAGUAGGACUUCUGGGAGGCUUAGCAGUCGGAGUGUGGUUCCUAGUCAGGUUGUUGUUGCGGCCUACCUCUUCCCAGAGUCCAGCAGGGCUAGGGGACACCAAGGAGACGUCCUUCUGUAAUGUGACCGAGGACAUCUCUGUGGCUGACCCCAGGAAAGGUCUGUGCCUCUCAGCCCGUCACUCACCACAGAGACUGUCAUCUUGUCUGUGUGAUUGGCUACGUCCCAAAUAG
ensembl:lncRNA